rnacentral:rRNA from 1 species
UGUGACUGCGUACCUUUUGUAUAAUGGGUCAGCGACUUAUAUUCUGUAGCAAGGUUAACCGAAUAGGGGAGCCGAAGGGAAACCGAGUCUUAACUGGGCGUUAAGUUGCAGGGUAUAGACCCGAAACCCGGUGAUCUAGCCAUGGGCAGGUUGAAGGUUGGGUAACACUAACUGGAGGACCGAACCGACUAAUGUUGAAAAAUUAGCGGAUGACUUGUGGCUGGGGGUGAAAGGCCAAUCAAACCGGGAGAUAGCUGGUUCUCCCCGAAAGCUAUUUAGGUAGCGCCUCGUGAAUUCAUCUCCGGGGGUAGAGCACUGUUUCGGCAAGGGGGUCAUCCCGACUUACCAACCCGAUGCAAACUGCGAAUACCGGAGAAUGUUAUCACGGGAGACACACGGCGGGUGCUAACGUCCGUCGUGAAGAGGGAAACAACCCAGACCGCCAGCUAAGGUCCCAAAGUCAUGGUUAAGUGGGAAACGAUGUGGGAAGGCCCAGACAGCCAGGAUGUUGGCUUAGAAGCAGCCAUCAUUUAAAGAAAGCGUAAUAGCUCACUGGUCGAGUCGGCCUGCGCGGAAGAUGUAACGGGGCUAAACCAUGCACCGAAGCUGCGGCAGCGACGCUGAUGCGUUGUUGGGUA